UACAGAGGUGGCAAGCGUUGUUCGGAAUUACUGGGCGUAAAGGGCGCGUAGGCGGCCAUCUAAGUCAGACGUGAAAUCCCCCGGCUUAACCUGGGAACUGCAUCCGAUACUGGAUGGCUUGAAUUCGGGAGAGGGAUGCAGAAUUCCAGGUGUAGCGGUGAAAUGCGUAGAUAUCUGGAGGAACACCGGUGGCGAAGGCGGCAUCCUGGACCAAUAUUGACGCUGAGGAGCGAAAGCCAGGGGAGCAAACGGG
rnacentral:rRNA from 1 species